UGAGUGCGAGCGGCUACGGCCGCGAAGUGGGUGAUGUCAAGCUUCCAAGAAAAGCCCUAUACCCGUUAAGGCAUGAUGGCCUGUACCCGAAACCGACACAGGUGGGGUGGUAGAGAAUACCGAGGGGCGCGAGGUAACUCUCUCUAAGGAACUCGGCAAAAUGGCCCCGUAACUUCGGGAGAAGGGGUGCCACCGCAAGGUGGUCGCAGUGAAGAGGCCCAGGCGACUGUUUACCAAAAACACAGGUCUCCGCUAAGUCGCAAGACGAUGUAUGGGGGCUGACGCCUGCCCAGUGCCGGAAGGUUAAGGAAGCUGGUCAGCGCAAGCGAAGCUGGCGACUGAAGCCCCGGUGAACGGCGGCCGUAACUAUAACGGUCCUAAGGUAGCGAAAUUCCUUGUCGGGUAAGUUCCGACCCGCGCGAAAGGCGUAACGAUCUGGGCGCUGUCUCGGAGAGAGGCUCGGCGAAAUAGAAUUGUCUGUGAAGAUGCGGACUACGUGCACCCGGACAGAAAGACCCUAUGAAGCUUUACUGUAGCUUGGUAUUGUGCCCGGGCUCUGAAUGCGCAGGAUAGGUGGGAGGCUUUGAUCCAUGGCUUGCGGGUCAUGGUGAGCCAACGGUGAGAUACCACUCUUUCAGAGCUAGGGUUCUAACGGUCACCCGUCAUCCGGGGACCGGACAGUAUCAGGUGGGCAGUUUGACUGGGGCGGUCGCCUCCUAAAAGGUAACGGAGGCGCGCAAAGGUUUGCUCAGGCUGGUUGGAAAUCAGCCGACGAGUGCAAAAGCAGAAGCAAGCUUGACUGUGAGACCUACAAGUCGAACAGGGACGAAAGUCGGCUUUAGUGAUCCGACGGUUCUGAGUGGAAGGGCCGUCGCUCAACGGAUAAAAGUUACUCUAAGGAUAACAGGCUGAUCUCCCCCAAGAGUUCACAUCGACGGGGAGGUUUGGCACCUCGAUGUCGGCUCAUCGCAACCUGGGGCUGAAGUCGGUCCCAAGGGUUGGGCUGUUCGCCCAUUAAAGCGGUACGCGAGCUGGGUUCAGAACGUCGUGAGACAGUUCGGUCCAUAUCCGGUGCACGCGCAGGAACAUUGAGAGGAUUUCUCCCUAGUACGAGAGGACCGGGAGGAACGCACCUCUGGUGUGCCAGUUAUCGUGCCAACGGUAAACGCUGGGUAGCCAUGUGCGGAGAGGAUAACCGCUGAAAGCAUCUAAGUGGGAAGCCCACCUCAAGAUGAGUGUUCCCACGGCAUAAGCCAGUAAGGUCACGGGAAGAACACCCGUUGAUAGGCUCUACGUGGAAGCCGGGUAACCGGUGAAGCGGAGGAGUACUAAUAGACCGAGGGCUUGAC
rnacentral:rRNA from 1 species